UGGUGAGCAGGGUGCCAUUGGGGGCCCUCAGGACCACCUGACUCCAAACCACAGGACUGGUCCACGGUAGGUCAGGGAGCUGUGGGUGGGGCAGAGUGGUUGAGAGAGGACAUCUCCCCUUUUACAUCAGCUUUUUUUUAACCUUCCUUUGUCUUGAAGGUCCGGCUGCUUGUCUCACCAUUCCUGUCUCCCCUGAUCCCCCAUGGAGACAGAUUCCUUAAAGCUUCAGGGGUGCCUGGGUGGCUCAGUUGGUUAAACGUUUGACUCUUGAUCUCAGCUCAGGUCAUGAUCUCACAGUUCAUGAGUUCAAGCCCCGCAUUGGGCUUUGCGCUGACAGUGCGGAGCCUGCUUGGGAUUCCGUCUCUCCCUCUCUCUGCCCCUUCCCCACUUGCUCUCUCUCUCUCUCUCUCUCUCUCUCAAAAUAAAUAGACUUAAAAAAAAAAACAACUUCAUUUAGAAACCUUUGAGUCACCUGCCUUGACGCCAUUAAUCUUCCCUCUCUGCCCUCGCUCUCUAAACUUCCUCCACAAUACAAGUGAGUGUCUAAGGCUUCGUUUGCACAGAGAUGUUAGAAAAAUGUGUAUUUUUUUAACUUAAUAGGGAAAAUGACGUAUGAGACCUUCCAUUUGAAUCAAGAAACUGAGAGAGGCACUGUGGUUUAUGUAGGGACAAUUCCUUUGGAAGAUCCAGGCAGAAGUCAGACUGGUUUAUGAUGAAAAAGCACAAUACUAAUGUAUUCCUAGCACUUCAGGGAAAUUCAGGGAACCUCCUUCCCCCAGUCUAUCGUCUACAGAACAUAUCCCAUCAGGAGGACUAAGGUAAGGACAGUAAGGAUGGGAAAUGAGAGUUUAUGGUGUCGAUCAAGGUAGAGAAAGUGCUGCAGUUGAAUGCAGUAAUACUUUCCUUUCUCUUGGAAAGGACCUGUGCAAGAGAGGGAGGCUUGGGUCUUUCAGGGGAUUGAUGUUUAUUUCCUUCAAGAAAUACUGAGUGUUUCUUGUGUUCCAGGCAUGAUAUUAGAUAUGGAAGAUACAAGGAUGGGCAAACAGAUGUGGUUCCCGUUUUCAUGGAGCUAUCAUCAAGAGGGGUAACACUAGUAACCAAUUAAUCAUUAAAUAAAUGUGCAAAGGAAGUGGUGACGAGUGCUGGUAAGGAGAGAUCUCCAUGGGGCUAGGAGAGGCAAUAUGAGAAAGGAUUUGACCUCGUCUAAAGGGUCAUAAAAAGCUGUCCUAAAAAAGUGAUGACUGGGUUGAGGCCUGAAUGAUGAGCAAGAAUUAAGUCGAUAAAGAAGGAAGGGGAGGGAAUGAGCUGGGGGCCCUGUGGGGACCUGGUGAAGCACAAGGAGUAAGGACUCUGCAUUGGAUCAGGGAGAGUGAAGGGGAGAGGGGCUGAGGUUGGAGAGAUUCCAGGGCACAGAUCAGGGAGGACCUUGCUUGUAGACCACGUCAAGGAUUCUAAUGUUUAUCAGACAAGCAAUGGGAAGCCAUUGAAUAGUUUUAAUUGGUGAUAGCGGUCAUGAUAGUGGUGGGGGAUGUGUUCAGCUUUGUGUUGGAAAAGAUUGUUCUGGUUGCCGUGUGACUGGGUGGGGAGAGGGUAGAUUCAACGUAGAAAGAGCAGGCAGAGGGUCUUGUAGCAUCCCAGGCAAGGAAUGAUUGGGCUAAGCUGGUGGCAGUGAUGGAAAGAGACAUUGAAGAGGGAAGAUCAACAGGGCAUGGUGUGUGUGGUCCCCUUAUCACCUUCAAGCUUCCUCAAGGGUAAAUCUGACAGGAGCCCAAAGGAGCAUGCCCGUUGGUGCACGAGAGAGCACGUCAAAGCUAAAUUACAUUGAUCUGAAGCACAGAUCUUUCGAGCACUGGUGCAAGAUCCCAAGGAGCAUUUUCCAGCCCUCCUGCCUCUUCAGCAUGAGCAGGCACCGAAAAUGAAGUGUGAGGGAAGGAAGCAGGCACCCAGGUUAUUUUUAGCAAGCUAUAGGAAAUAGCCAACAUUCUAAUUUGAAUUCUUCUCAUUAAAACCCAGAGCCUAACCCCACACAGUUCUUGUUUCUAAUGUCGGCAAACUUCUCUUUUUCCAGAUAAUUGACAAUAGGCCCCCACGGAAGUCUUCUCAGCAUUUCUGCAAAAAUUUAGCAAACAUUAGGUUUGACACCAUCACCAUGUUUGCCAAGACAGCAAAAAUCCCAGCCGGCAAAACUUCGAGCGUGAUGAAGUGGAACAGAGAGGACAGCGCGGAAUGAGUGAUCAUUUCAGGAAAUCUUCUAGCAAGAGUUUCCAGUGUUGGGAUUUCGCAUCGUCUUUGCAGGAAGAGCGGUACGGAAGGUCCACUCUGGGGCCAGGCUGCGGUGAUGUAGGUGGGUUUGCUCCUCUUUCUUUCCCACCUUCCCUCCCUAUCCUCGAGUCGUUCCCGGAAUUAAAAUUAUGUUUUAAUAUUUUCAUUUGAUAACAACAGAAACGUUUUUUAUUCGACAAGUUUACCUGGUAUAGUCAGCGUCUGAAUGAUGGCUGAGCUGGUCUUUAGAUUGGUGUGGCAGGCCUUCCACCUGCUUGACCUGGGACGUGUUAUUUAGCUUCUUUGGGUCUGGAUUUCCCCACAUGAGACGUGAAGAGGUGUUAUACUAGCUCAGCACUUCCCCAGCCUCAGUCAUUCGGGUGUCGCCUUCAUAAUAUUCUCCAUGUUGUUUUUUUUUUUAACAUUUUUUCUUCUAAAUUGAUUCAUUUGUUUACUUAAGUCUUUUUUUUAAAACAACAACAACAAAGUCUUGGCAAUAAUAUAUGUGAAAUCGUGGAACUAAAGUGAUGAUAACCUUUUUUCUAAUACACAUAAAUAAGCACAUAUUUAAAAUAAAAUGGGGUUUUUUUUUGCAUAUAUCUAUGUGAAAUCAACCUACACUCCUCCAUGAUGAUAUAUGUAGACCCCGCUCUAGGAAACUCUAGACAAGCCAGAUUCUAAGCUCUCGUGCAGUGCUAACAUACUGUUGUUCACAUCUGGCCUUACCUACCCCGCCUGGUUUCCCAUAGCUUCCUAAAAUAAAACCCUAAGCAUGGCCAAAUCAAUGUCCCUGUUACUCCUUGUAGACAGUAUGUGCAAGCUAUUCCCUUCAUCUAGAAUCAAUAAUUUACUAAGGAAAGAGAAACCAUGACCUAAGUAAGAAAGAGCAAAUUGGGGAAGUACAUGAUGGGGUCAAAAGCUACCCUUGACCAGUAAGCCAAGAAAAUCCUUAGAGUUGGUUGGCAGUUGGUGGGUGAAGGUCAAGAGUAAAAAGUUGAGGGUUUGGUCCUUUAUGGGCUAUUUGUUUUCCUUGAAGAAGAGGUUUACCCACUUACAGGACAAAUUUACUGGACAAAGUUUUUUUUAAAUGUUUAUUUCUGAGGGGGGUGGGAAGGAGAGAAAAAGAGGGAAUGAGGGGAGAGGAGCAGAGCGAAAGGGAGACAGAGUAUCUGAAGUGGGCUCUACACUGACAGCAGAGAGCCUAACAUGGGGCUCAAACUCACAAACUGUGAGAUCAUGACCUGAGUUGAAGUCAGACCCUUAAUGGGCUGAGCCACCCAGGCGCCCCUGGACAAAGUUUUGAGUGCUCCCUGAAGGUCUUCAACCUUAUCUAACAUACAAAAGAAGAUCUACUUGGGGAGUAAUCAUUAUUUGAUACAGAAAUGUAUUAAUUCACUUAUUUAUAAUGCAUUUUGUGUUAAAAAAAUGCAUGAUGUGUUUCCUCCAUGCUAGGCAUUGAACAUACAAAGGCUAUUAAGAUAUUUCUCUAUCCUCUAGGAGCUCAGGUUUUGCUGGAGACGGAACAUGAAUGGGUGGGCCUGGUAAGGCAUUGCGGACCUCCAAAGUAUAUCCAGGGUACAAUGUGCCUCAGGACGGGUAGUGUCAGUUCUGUUGGAUCAGGCAGAACUUCCUAAGGGAUGUAACUUGAUUUCUAAGCCAGCGUUGGUUGGGGGGGUGGCCCAGUGGGGAUGGAAUGCCCUCCCAGGGACUAUAAACAGUUAUAAGAUUUUCUGGCAUAUUCAGAAAACGGAAUGCAAUUUAGUAGGGGUGGAACCUACAGUUGCCUGUGUGUGUGUGUGUGUGUGUGUGUGUGUGUGUGUAAGAGAGAGAGAAAGAGAAACAGAGUGGUUGACUCCAGCGGUCGUACUUCUCUAUUCAAGAAGGAACUGUUAGAGACUUCAAUGCAAGUGGGAGCUAUGUCCAGAGCUGCAUGCUGGAAUCUCACUCAGGUGCUCACAUGGUGGAUAAUUGGAUAGGGACAAGUUCCCAAGCCAUAGGCAGAGACCCAUUAAAACACUAUUCUAAGGGUCCGGGAGAAAGAUGAUGAGGGCAGCAGUGGUGAGAGAGAGAGAGUAGGGACAGCUUUGAGAGUCAGUGUGAAGGAUGGGCUGAUGAGAACGGGAGAUGCCUAGGAAGGGGUCAAGGUUGCCAGCUUGCUGAUUGGCUAGUGGUGCCAUUCUCACCGUGGGGACCCAGCAGGAAAGAAGCAAUCUGGGGAAAUAUGUAUUUCUUUUGGAACUGGACCCCUCGGGGCCUGCAUGGCAAAGUGAUUGGGUAUGGAGCCCUGACACCUCAGUUAUUUUCCUAGCUCUGUUCCUAUGACCCUGUUUCGACUUCUCACCAUUUCUGGUGUCUGUCCCUAAGACGUAUGGCCCGCUCUGGCUUGAUUUCAGGUCUUGAGGAAAAGAAAAGAAAAAAAAAAAUAUGUGAAAGCGCUUCCUAAAUGUCUUCACAAAUGUAAAUAUUUCUGUCUCCAAGGAAGCGCAAGGUGUAAAAAGCAGAGUCAUCAGCACAUUUAGCUCAUAAAUGGGCAGAGUAUGUGACUCCUUUGCAUCAUGACAGAGCACACAGCAGAGACGUCUCUACAGAAUUGACAACAUUACUGCUUACCCUUUGGCCAAGAUGGCCUAGUUUCUAUGAGACGAAAGGUAUCACUUUGCUUUGCAACGUGCCAAUUCACCGGACACUACAUCUCUUCGUUUUUUUCCUAAAUCUUAUGAAGUCAUUUUUCCAUUCCCACUUGCUAGGUUGGGCAAAACAUCCAUCGUCAGCCAUAAUGAGGAUUCCUGUUGGAUCACAUACAAAGCCUGUUUUUCACGAGUGAGAUUUAAGACAUGUAUGUCCACUCACGAGUGGAGUGAGCGACGUUUACACAGCAUUGGUUUGCAACCGUCUUGGGAGCUUUCCUGGUAAAAUCUGAAACUGGCCUCUGUACUCAGAAGGGAGGGAGAGACCAAAGAAAGAGGCAGGCCAUCACGGGUAGGUGGGUGGCAAUCUCAAUAACAGCGACGGAAGCUUACAUGUGAGACAAAUGGAUCCCUGCACCUGCCCACCCAAUCUUAAAAUGUUAUAAAGGGGCCUUCACUGGGUUCAGUCACAUAUACUGGGCAGGUGUUCUCAAUACCAUAUCACUAUCUUAAGGCUACGUCCUUGAAGUAGCCUCUGGGAGUGGGAAAGGCAAGCAGGAUGCAUAUUCCCAGGACAGAGGAAGGAGUGAGGAGCCUCCAAUUGGCGGUCAUGUCCUUCCGAUGACGUUCCCAACACACAGGUAACUAACCAUCCUUGCAUGAACAGGGUAACCUAAUUGUCCUAGGUUUAGGAAACCCCAUCACUAACCUGCUAGUUCAGACCAAGGGCUUUGCAAUCUGUCGCCCCUAGGGCUGAGGAGGCUGAGGUGCUGAUUGAUCUGUGCUGGUGGUUAACAUGCCCAAGACAGCUCAGCAGCAUUAUCAUCCAGACCAAAAGAAAUUUGGGAAUUACCUUUAAUUACUGUUGUGGUCCCAGUUUGCUGUGCGGUAAGCAUGCUUCUUAUAAAUAAGGAAAGUUGAGAUAUCAACAGUGUGGCGAAGGUCGGUAUGGAAGACAAACCUCAGCACGGAACCACUGAGGGUGGGGGCUGGUGAGGAGGGCUGAUGGUUGAGUGUGCACGAUGCAGCUGAGGUCUACUGCAGAGAAAGGGGGGACAUGAAGACUUCCUCAGGCAAGGAGGUCAGAAUGGAGAGAAAUAGGAAUAAGAAGGCAUUUUGAGUUAAUUGAAAAGAACUCCGAGAUAUUUCUUAUAAAUCGUUCUCAUGAAUGGAGAAAAGAUCAACUUGGGGCAACCACUCUUAGAAUAGCGUUUCUGGUCAGGGUAUUUUAAAUGUUAACUCACCUCCCGGGAGGAGAGAAAAGCCGCCUCUUAGAGCGAUAUCCCACUGGUGGUGUGUGAGAGGAUGGCUGGACUUAAACAUCUGAAUACUCUUCUAUUUUAAUAGUUGCGUGUUUAUUUGAUGACUCUCAUUAUCUUUGGCAAGUCAUUAUACUUUUCUAUUUGAGGCAGUGGCACAACACUUUCUGUUAAAAUAAAUUUGAGGGAGGAGGGGCACCUGGGUGGCUCAGUCGGUUAAGCGUCUGACUCUUGAUCUCAGCUUAGGUCUUGAUCUCACAGUCGUGAGGUCAGGUCCUGUGUUGGGCUCCACUCUGGGCAUGGAGCCUACUUACAAAAUAACAUAAAAUAAAAUACAUUUGAGGGGGAAAAGUGAACUGAUUUAAGGAAAAAUUAUUUAUUAAAAGAAACAGGAGAGAGAGUAUGGAAAAAAUAGAAAGGCAGUAUUAGAAUGACCAAAACUUGGGAGAACAUCAAAAGUUGUGCUCCAUUUGGGUGGAGAAGCAGAAAAGAAAGGAAAUAAUUACCUAGUUUGUAAUGGCCCAUGGGUAAUUUUGCAACCAGUUUACCUCAUCACAUGGGCUUUUUUCUCAUGAAGAUUAUUCUCUGAAAAUGCAAAAAAAUCCAAGGAGAGAGUCAUAUCUUAACAUAUGAUAAACAGGGUUUUUUCUUAAGUUUAUUUAUUUUUGAGAGAGAGACAGAGCACAAGGGGAGGGUCAGAGAGAGAGGGAGACACAGAAUCCGAAGCAGGCCCCAGGGUCAGAGCUGUCAGCACAGAGCCCGACGUGGGGCUCAAACUCACGAACUGCGAGAUCAUACCUGAGCCGAAGUCGGACGCUUAACCGACUGAGCCACCCAGGCGCCCUGGUAAGCAGGGUUUUUUUUUAAUGAUGUGGCUACACUUGGACCUGGACACGUCUGGAAGGGGGAAGGAGAUUCCCCCUGCAGUGGGGCUGCAGGGGGAGGUUAGGGGGAGCCCACCCCAAGACAGUUCACCAGCCUUACGAUUUCAUCCAACUCUUGAGUAGAGAGCGUCCUUGGGUGGUAACAGUGCAGUGACAGACAAGUGGGUUGAAUUAAAAGGUUCUGAAGGUUUAAUUUUAAUGUGAUGAUGAGGGUAGUGUAUGUAUGUAGGCCCCGCAGCUCCUAGAACAGUGCUCUGCACAUACACGUUAAGUAGCUGCUAAAUGGGAGCAUAAUUGCACAAUAUUUUACAUUGGCUUGCAAAAGAGGAGAAAGUGGUCAGGUUGGAAGUGAUAGAUAACUGAGUUCAUAUCGCAUUUCUGCCCUUUACAUGCUGUGUAGCCUUGGGUAAAUUACUUAACCUUUCUGAAUCUCGUCUAUCAAAUGGAGCUAAUCAGUGGUGCACUGUACAUGUUCUACAACUGGCUCACCAGGAAAAAGGAAAGCUCUGCUUUGUAGCACUUGCUGAUUUCCGUAGUGUCAAUAUUCACCAUCAAGCUAACAACCAUUUCACAGCUAGCUGGCAAAAUUCCUGCCAAUCUACAAAUCAGUUCUCAGAAACCCCCAGAUACAGUUCACCACUGGAGGUCACGAUUCCAACCUCACACGGGUGCCAGUCAUUCUUGGAGCACUUACUACCUGCUAAUAAGCACUGCACUUGGGUGGUCUCAUCUAGUUUUUCUUCAAUGUUUGUUUAUUUUUGAGAGACAGAGAGAGACAGAGCGUGAGCAGGGGAGGGGCAGAGAGAGAGGGAGACACAGAAUCCAANNNNNNNNNNNNNNNNNNNNNNNNNNNNNNNNNNNNNNNNNNNNNNNNNNNNNNNNNNNNNNNNNNNNNNNNNNNNNNNNNNNNNNNNNNNNNNNNNNNNNNNNNNNNNNNNNNNNNNNNNNNNNNNNNNNNNNNNNNNNNNNNNNNNNNNNNNNNNNNNNNNNNNNNNNNNNNNNNNNNNNNNNNNNNNNNNNNNNNNNNNNNNNNNNNNNNNNNNNNNNNNNNNNNNNNNNNNNNNNNNNNNNNNNNNNNNNNNNNNNNNNNNNNNNNNNNNNNNNNNNNNNNNNNNNNNNNNNNNNNNNNNNNNNNNUUGGAUUCUGUGUCUCCCUCUCUCUCUGCCCCUCCCCUGCUCACGCUCUGUGUCUCUCUCUCUCAAAAAUAAACAUUUAAAAAAAUUAAUAAAAACUAAUGAUUUCAAAAGUAGAAUUUAGUGACUCAUCACUUACAUAUGACACCCAGUGCUCAUCCCAACAAGUGCUCUCCUUAAUGUCCAUCACCCAUUUAGCCCAUCCCCCAACCCAAGACCCCUCCAGCAACCCUCAGUUUGUUCUCUGUAUUUAAGAAUCUCUUACGGUUUUCCUCCUUCUCUCUCUUUAUCUUGUUUUUCCUUCCCUUCCCCUAUGUUCAUCUGUUUUGUUUCUUAAAUUCCACAUCUGAGUGAAAUCAUUCGAUAUUUUUCUUUCUCUGACUUAUUUCACUUAGCAUAAUCUCUAAGUUCCAACCACAUUGUUGCAUAUGGCAAGAUUUCAUUCUUUCUAAUUGCUGAGUAAUAUUCCAUUGUAUGUAUAUACCACAACUUCUUUAUUCAUUUGUCAGUCAAUGGACAUUUGGGCUCUUUCCAUAAUUUGGGUAUUGUUGAUCGUUCUGCUAUAAACAUUGGGGUGCAUGUUACCCUUUGAAUCAGCAUUUUUGUAUCCUUUGGAUAAAUACCUAGUAGUGCAAUUGCUGGGUUAUAGGAUAGCUCUAUUUUUAAUUUUUUGAGGAAACUCCAUACUGUUUUGUAAAGUGGCUGCACCAGUUUGCAUUCCCACCAGUAGUGUAAGAGGGUUGCCCUUUCUCUGCAACCUUACCAACACCUGUCGUUUCCUCAGUUGUUAAUUUUAGCCAUUUUGACAGGUGUUAGGUAGUAUCUCAUAUUGGUUUUGAUUUGUACUUCCCUGAUGAUGAGUGAUGUUGAGCAUCUUUUCAUGUCUUUUGCUCAUUUCUUCAUGGGAUUAUUUGUUUUUUGGGUGUUGAGUUGGUAAGUUCCUUUUUUUAAAAAAAAUUUUUAAUGUUUAUUUAUUCUUGAGAGAGAGACAUACAGAGACAGAGUGUGACUGGGGAAGGGUCAGAGAGAGAGGGAGUCACAGAAUCUGAAACAGGUUCCAGGCUCUAAGCUGUCAGCACAGAGCCUGAUGUGGCCUGUGAGGUCAUGACCUGAGCCAAAGUCAGAUGCUUAACUGACUGAGCCACCCAGGUGCCCCAACUUUGAUAAGUUAUUUAUAGAUUUUGGAUACUAACCCUUUAUCUGAUAUGUCAUUUGCAAAUAUCUUCUCCCAUUCUGUCAGUUGCCUUUUAGUUUUGUUGCUUGUUUCCUUCACUGUGCAGAAGCUUUUUAUCUCAAUGAGGUCUCAAUAGUUCAUUUUUUGCUUUUGUUUCCCUUGUCUCUGGAGGCAUGUCUAGCAGGAAUUUGCUGCAACAGAGGUCAAAGAGGUUGUUGCCUGUUUUCUCCUCUAGGAUUUUGAUGGCUUCCUGUCUUACAUUUAGGUCUGUCAUCCAUUUUGAGUUUAUUUUUGUGUAUGGUGUAAGAAAGCGGUCCAGGUUCAUUCUUCUGCACGUCGCUGUCCAGUUUUCCCAGCACCACUUGCUGAAGAGACUGUCUUUAUUCCAUUGGAUAUUCUUUCCUGCUUUGUCAAAGAUUAGUUGGCGAUACGUUUGUGGGUCCAUUUCUGGGUUCUCUAUUCUUUUUUUUAAUUUAUUUUAAUGUUUUUAUUUAUUUUUGAGAGAGAAAGAGAGAGAGCACAAGUGGGAGAGAGGCAGAGAGAGAGGGAGACACAGAAUCCGAAACAGACUCCAGGCUCUGAGCUGUCGGCACAGAGCCUGAUGUGGGGCUUGAACUCAUGAACCAUGAGAUCAUGACCUGAGCCGAAAUUGGACACUUAACGGACUGAGCCACCCAGGUGCCCCUCUGGGUUCUCUAUUCUGUUCCAUUUGUCUUUGUGUCUGUUCUGACGGUGCAGAGCCUGAUGUGGGGCUCAAUCCCAUGAACUGCAAGGUCAUGACCUGAGCCGAAAUCAAGAGUUGGAUGCUCACCUGACUGAGCCAGCCAGGUGUCCUCCAGAAAGAGAGCUUUGUAGUGAUUUACCAGCAAAGCGAGAGCUUCUUCCUUCCCUGCUCUCUCUGCUGUUGGCCUAUCACACAAUGAACAACACAGAUGUUUCUAAGAAUUUGAUAUCCAGCUAUUCGUUAAAUGUAUAAUAUUUGGAACUAAACUGAUCCAUUACUAUACAUUUUGUGCUAGAAGAGUAUGAAAUUCUUCCUUCAGAGAACUUGGGUUGGAGGAAGUUGGGCUGGGGGAUUUGGCUAAGUAGACAGGGCCUCCUACCCAGAUGUCAUUCUCCUCCUAUAUCUGCCUUUCUGGCAGAGCCAGCUGCAUGAGAUGCUGGAAGCCACCACCAGGAACUUUCUUACAGGGAAGGUGGUCAUGUAAUCUACCCGGUUCUGGCCAAUGAGACUUAAGGAAGCGUGGUCAGAGGCUUCAGCAAUUUUCUUUGUUGAACAAAGCAGAGACAUGGGGAAAAAAAGUUCCAUGUCUCCCUACCUGCUUUUUGACAUUACUCUCCGGGGAUGACAGAUUUUGGGUCUAAUUAGAUGGAUGGCCUGGAAGUAUCUACCUACUUAUUUCCUGUUAGGUAAAGAUAAAGAAAUAGCCUUACUGGUUAGAGCCUGUUACCUAUGCAUGAUGUGAUUUGCAGCCCCAAACAUCCUAUACCAAUAAUUAAAAUGGAUUUUCAAGUUUACCUGCUUGAAUUGAACUAUUAGAACGUGUGGUUACCAAAACACCACUGUGUCGGUGAGAAAGCUUUCUGCGGCAAGUAAUUCCAAGUCCUGACUCCUGCUGGCUCAGCAGAGGGAGGUUUAUUACCUUGUGUAACAGGGAUAACAGAGUGGGGCAGGCCCCCCGGUGGUACACAUACCCUGGCUGUCCUUCUCUGAGUCUCUCCCGUCCCAUUCUCCUUGUGGGUGGGUUUGGUCCUCAGGCCAGUUGACUGCCAAGUUUUAGGCCCAGGGGAAGAAGGGGGAUUGUCUAUUCCUGUGUUUCUUCGGAGAAACGAGGAGAGGUUCUUUGUCAGCCAUGAUCCAUAUUUAUCCUUUCCUAAGUCAGUCGUUGGCAAUGGGAGUUGGGUUCCUACAAUCCUUCGGGACUACCUUCAAUGGGCUAGGGGGUGGAGGGGAAGAAUGUAAGAAAACCCACACAAGGACCAACUCCACUUUUCUUAUCUUUUUGCUUCUUGGAGAUUUUUCAUGGGCUCUGGUGAGCUUGUUUUCCACUCUGGGAACCCUAACUGAUCAUAUUUUUUUUUUUUUUCUCUUCUAGCUUGGCUUUGAGCCUUCACUCACUCAGUUGCCUCCUAGCUGACAAGGGUUUCUUUCCUUUUACCAGUUGGUUUCUCUUAAAAGAAUCAAUUCUUUUUGUUUCUGGGUCCCUAAGGCCCCGAUUAUAAAACAGGUGUUGUAUUUUAAAACACAAUGUGAUACCAAUGUCUUCACAGGAAAAAAAAAAGAAUCUAGACAUACGCGCUAGUGUUUUUAGAGUUAAAAAUGUUUCACUUGCAUUUGUUCUGCUUGAACAUAUCUUUACGCUCACAAAGAAAACAGGUACCACGCCUUUAAGAGUAGCUCCCUGUCAGAUUUUAAAAUUGAUACAAAGUUACUUGAGGAAUAAGAGCAAUAAAACGUGAAGCGACUUUUAUCUGACGACAACGUGGGGAUUCAACUUGGAGGAGAUAAGUUAGUAGAGGAGAGAAAUGUGAGGUUUACACCCUUUCCUCAUUUGAUGGAAGAAGCCCUGGUCUUCUAUUACCCCUCACGGCACCUUCACUUGUAUUCAUGUGUAUCGGAUUAACCACCAAAGACUUGUUUUGUACCUGGUUUCUGCUGCUUUUAGUCAGAGAGAUACCUGUGAAUCCCUUGUGUGAAUUGUGAGCCAGCUGUAGCUGUUUCGGCCAUUGUUAUGAGACUACCCAGAACCCCAUUCCUCCCUUCAUCCACCCUAAUAGGACCUGUGUCCACCCUCCCGUAUAGCCUGUGCUACUGGGAGAAUCUGAUGCCACUCUUGACUUUCAGGUGGGAUUGAAGCAGUCAGCACGUCUGCCAUCAUUGGUUCAGGGGCAGACAUGUGAUGGGCAGAGUCCAAUCAGGGUGAAUCUCAAGAUUUGGUUGCUUAGAAUGUCACAGCAGGCACAUUCUGUCUCCUUCUGCGGUGUGUGGGUGUGUGUUCAGUGCUGCUCACACCAUGGAAGGUCAAGCAGAGACACUGAAAACAAAACAAAACAAAAGCAGAUGGAAAGAAACUGAAUCAAGCCAGGCCUGAGGCCUGACCCGGCUCUGGACCUUCCAGUGACAUGGGCCAAGAAAUCUUUCUUGUUGAUUGAGUUUUCCAUUAGCCACUUAAAGGGCCCUGCAGAUGGAAGAAGCUGCCCUCAAGAAAUUUCUGGUAAAUAGGCCUCUGAGUUUUCCUCAAGGCAAACAAGUUUUAUUGCUCAAGAAAGGAGGGGGAAACGAAUCCUUUGUGUUUUGAGCACUGGGAAGAAAAUUAGCCUGAUUUCAAGUGUAUUGCCGCAGGCCUGGGAGACAGCCAUGUUGUAGGAAUUCUCCGGAGGCUGAGCCUAUAACAGCACUCCAACCGGUCUUAAGGGUUAACUUGCUUCAAGCUUACCCGCUCUGGCUUUCUGACCUUACUCCCUUGAUCUGUAGCAGAACUAACUGACUUUCUUUGAGAUUUGCAGGCCACUGGCCUUGAGGCGUGAAGGACUCAACUCUCCCAGAAGAUAAAGCCUGACUACAACUCAAAAACAGCUGCCGCUGAUGCGGGCAAGUCUGUUCCGGGUCAUGGGUCAUGGCGACGUACGACUGACCACCUGGGCACCCGCUUCUCUUGCAUGUAGCCCCCCCUCCCUGUUCCCACGCCUUCAUCUUUAAAGCCCUCUGGUUUCCCCCCAGGAUGAGGAAGAGGGUCUUUGAGGCAUUCGCCCGCCAUCUUCCUAGGUUGCCAGCUUCCUGCAUAAAGCAAACUUUCCUUUCCCACCACCACUUGUCCUUUGAAUAUCGAUUUUUGAGUGGUGAGCAGCUGAACCUGAGUUUGGAGCCAGUUCUCUGGUAAUAGGCCCACACAUUUAGGCACAGCACCGCUGUGGUGUGGGGUCUCUCAUGGACCUCGCAGAGCAGGCCCCUGAAGGAACUAGGUAAUUAAGGUGUCGAAGGCUGGGACAAGCCUGGCAGGAUGGCCAUGGAGGCACCUGCCGGCCCGCUCAGGAGGCUGGUCUGUGUCUUGGGUCAGCAGGGCAGGGCAAAGAGGGAGGACCAGUGAUCCACAGUCACGCUGUUUGUUAAAAUGUAGAUUCUCAGGACAUAGCCACUAAAGCCACUGAGUCAGGAUCUGGGAACAGGCAUUUCGAGAAGCAUCCCAGCUUAUUUUUAGGUGAGUACCAUUGAGAACCCAUGCCUGAAGCGUGUGCAGGGGAUUAAGCGGAGGAAUCUCAGUUCAGUUGUCCCCUCCAGGCAGGAAAAUGGUGAAAAUAGGCGGCAAGAAAGCCCAGGGUCAGGUUCCAGCCAAUCCAGAAAUAGGAUGCCCUAGGUGGUCAGGUUGGGAGGUAUGCCCCUGGGUCAGGCCUAACAUCCAGAGCCAGGAUGAAUCUUCAAGUAGUUUAGAGCUAAUUACCAAUGCUUCUGGCAUCACGACAAUCUUCAGUGCUACAAAUGGCCUUAGACACGUAUCGGAUUGUCCUGCCAGCUUUGAUGUGUGGAGAUGUGGGGUUGUGGGCAAGUAGACCCUGAUGCUGUCAGAGCACCCCUCGCCUGUGUCAGGGGUCACAUAGUCCAAGUGAUAGGCCUCAUCACAGAGAGGCUGCUGGGUUGAUGUCACACACCCUCUUCUCCUGCCUCUGCUUUCAAAAGUAUACAUUAUAUGGGCAUCUGGGUGGCUCAGUCUGUUAAGUGUCCGGCUUUUGAUUUCGACUCAGGUCAUGAUCUCAUGGUUUGUGAGUUCAAGCCCUGCAUCAGACUCCACAUGGAUAAUGUGGAGCCUGCUUGGGAUUCUCUCUCCUCUGUCCCCUCCCUCUCUUCUCUGCCCCUCCCCAACUUGUGGGCGUGUGCUCUCUCCCUCAAUAAAUAAACUUCAAAAAAUUCAUUAAAAAAAGAAUACAUUAUAGCAGCUUGGCAGGGAAGAGAUUUUCAGUACCACUCUACAAAUGGGGACAGAAGUACUGAAUGAUUAGACUUCACCAAGGUCAAGCAACAGGGAUUUGGGAGAAAUGGAAACCACAGUGGUUUCUACCUGUGACCGGGGGAGCCCUCAUGGUCAAUAGAAGUCAUGGCCUGGGCAGCAGACCCCCAUGUGGCCCAGCUGUUCCUUCUAUUAUUAUUUUAGUUCUGAGUGUUCUUCAGCUAAAAAAGCAAUACCAAUCAAACAAGUGCAAAAACUCUGAAAAGCGCCAUGAGGAAGAAAGCAGGGCAGGAACCGGGAGAGCUGAGUUCUGUUCCAGCUGUAAUCUUUGCUCAGUGCUUCCUGCUUCUCUCUGGACCCAUUUCCUCAUCUGCAGAAUAAGCUGCAGCCUCACUGCAGAUGUUAGCACGCGGGACUUCUAAGGUCAGGUGUCUUCUUGUCAAUUCCAGCCUCUCUCAUAGAAGGCCAACUUGGAAAACGCUUUAACUGAACGCUGUGUGGUGUGGUUCUUAGAUUUUGCAGCUUGACUCUCUCCCAUUUGGGAAACCCGUCUCGUGUUUACCAACACAGUGCAAUUAAAGAAUGAGGCUGCACUCACCGUUUACAGGCUUGUUUCCAUUUUUUCCAUUUGCGACACUAAAUCAGUUGCUGAGCCCUGAUCCCAUGAAAGGAUUAGCUAAUAGAUUCCUUCUCUUAAUUUCCCCUGAUUUUAGAGGUCUCCCAAGAGAAAGAAAAUGCAUAGUUUAUUGGGAUGGGGUUUUACUGCCGAAAUCUUUUACUUUUUAAUUGCAAGGAAAGAGAUACAAACAGACCUGGUUUACCCAAAAUAAUUUUGUGUUCCCAUUUGAGUUUGAUAUAGUAGUUAAAAAAAAUCUCCUACUUAAAAAUACUCUCUCGGGAUAAAUAUUUAUGUGUGUAUAUUUUCUUAAACCUUGAUCUUUUUCCAUUACGUAAAAUAGUUUUCAUUCCUGGUAUGCAAUUCUAUUAAACAACCUAUCAUCUCAAAACUAAGCAUGCUACUAAUUUCCCUGGGGAUUAGUUUUUAAUCUUCAUUUUAGCCAAUUGUUCUAUUUCUUAGAGAUAAUACGAUUUUAUUGCGUUUUAAGAUAUAUAUUUAAACAAAAGGCAAAUAUUAUACGUGGUAAGUGGGAAUGGGGUUGGGUUACUAUGAUAAAGGUUUGUUUGAAACCUACCUGAGGUACAGGACAGCUCUGGCUUCCAGACAGUUACAUUUAAAGUAUUCAAUUUCUGGGCACCUGGGUGGCUCAGUCUGUUAAGUGGCCAACUUUGGCUCAGGUCAUGAUCUCGCGUUUUGUGAGUUCGAGCCCCUUGUCAGGCUCUGUGCUGACAGCUCAGAGCCUGGAGCCUGCUUUGGAUUCUGUGUCUCCCUCUCUCUCUGCCUCUCCCCUACUCUCAUUCUGUCUCUCUCUCCCAAAAAUUAAUAAACAUUAAAAAAUAUAUAAAAUAAAGUAUUCCAUUUCUUCUCCUCUUCUUGGUUAAAGAAUAAUUUUUCUUUUCCCCAGAAAAGGAGGUUCCUAACAAAAUUACACGUGACCCACCCCAGUGCUGGGGAUAAAUAGGAAAGAGACAAGGACCCAUUUCCUUUGUGGUUGUGCUCCCAGAGAAGGUUGGGGAACUCCAGAUAUGGAGUGGAUUCUGUCAUCUGUGGCUUGUAAAUCCUCCAGAGUUGCUCCCAACUUCACAGCUGAGCCUCAGAAGUGGAGAAGAAUGAGGGCUGGUUCUUCCCUUCGCUUGUCCCGAUUUUUCUAGGGGGGUUUUCCAGGGGCUAAGGCAGGCCCUCUUCGCCUCCUCUCUAGGGCGGGAGUCCUCGAACCCUAAGCUGUAUCUGAACCACCCGAAUUAAUCAGAGUGCGUGGUACCUCACUGAUUUUUAGCCCCAUUGUAUGUUUCUGAUUCAACAGAAUUUUAGGGAUGAGAAACCAGAGUUUUAACCUGCAUGUCACCAAGAUGUACAUGCGUUAGUGAAGUUUAGUGAACAGAUAAGCAGGCAGUUAGUUAAUAUUUGAAGUAUCCUAGUCAGUAGUGCCUAAUUCUAGGAGUAGUUAGGGAGUUUCUAGAGACUCUCAUCUGAAGCUCGUGUGUGUGAAGGGGUGGGCUUACUAAACACGGUAAGCUAAACAUGGCUUCAGUUAUCCACAUCCCAUCAACACCAGAGGAUUUGUUCAUUAGCACAAUGCACAUCAGAAAUAUUUUUCAUGGGUGAAAUCAGUGGCACCCAAAGUACAUAGCAAGGCCAGAAAUAUGGCACAGGUAGCGCACCUUUGCAUGAACAGGAUGAAUUAAUUGUUCUAGGUUUAGGAAAACCCAUAACACCUGCUAGUUCAGACCAAGGGCUUUGCAAUCUGUCGCCCCUAGGGCUGAGGAGAAUGGGAGGCUGAGGUGCUGAUUGAUCUGUGCUGGUGGUUAACAUGCCCAAGACAGCUCAGCAGCAUUAUCAUCCAGACCAAAAGAAAUUUGGGAAUUACCUUUAAUUACUGUUGUGGUCCCAGUUUGCUGUGCGGUAAGCAUGCUUCUUAUAAAUAAGGAAAGUUGAGAUAUCAACAGUGUGGCGAAGGUCGGUAUGGAAGACAAACCUCAGCACGGAACCACUGAGGGUGGGGGCUGGUGAGGAGGGCUGAUGGUUGAGUGUGCACGAUGCAGCUGAGGUCUACUGCAGAGAAAGGGGGGACAUGAAGACUUCCUCAGGCAAGGAGGUCAGAAUGGAGAGAAAUAGGAAUAAGAAGGCAUUUUGUUUUUGUUGUUGUUUUUUUUUUAAAUUUUUUUUUUAACGUUUAUUUAUUUUUGGGACAGAGAGAGACAGAGCAUGAACGGGGGAGGGGCAGAGAGAGAGGGAGACACAGAAUCGGAAACAGGCUCCAGGCUCUGAGCCAUCAGCCCAGAGCCCGACGCGGGGCUCGAACUCACGGACCGCGAGAUCGUGACCUGAGCUGAAGUUGGACGUUCAACCGACUGAGCCACCCAGUUGCCCCAUAAGAAGGCAUUUUGAGUUAAUUGAAAAGAACUCCGAGAUAUUUCUUAUAAAUCGUUCUCAUGAGUGGAGAAAAGAUCAACUUGGAGCAACCGCUCUUAGAAUAGCGUUUCUGGUCAGGGUAUUUUAAAUGCUAAUUACUUGCUUGGAUGUAUAUUAAAUACGAGCAAGUAAAUACCAAUGGACACACUUAUAUCUCACUGAGAUGCAGGUUAAAAUCCCUUAGUUCCUGGUGCUCCAGCUGGAAGCCUCAUAAGAAAGACUAGAACAGUGAUUUUCAGGGGGAGGGGAAGGCCGGGCCAUGGGUUUGUAUCAGGACAUGUGCGUGUGUAUGAGUAUGUGUAAUUAACACAAACCACAUGCUUGGAGAAGUCUUCCAAUCUUGAACCUGCUUUGCUGUCUGCAGACGCUGUCACUGCUACAGGAAAUUCUCGAGGUUCCAUGACUUUAAAUUCCACCUAUUAAAAAAAAAAUGUUUAUUUAUUUAUUUUUGAGAAAGAGAGAGCGAGUGCAUGCACGCAGGGGCAGGGGGAAGGGCCGAGAGACAGUGAGACAGAAAAUCCCAAGCAGGCUCAGGCUGCCUCAGUCAGCACAGAGCCCGACACUCUGGAACACAGCCUGGAACUCACCAACUGUGAGAUCGUGACCUCACCCCUGAUCAGAAAUCAAGAGUCGGUUCCUUAAUGGACUAAGCCACCCAGGUGCCCCUAAAUUCCACCUAUUUUUACGUCCAUACCCCCGAUCCCCCAAAGUACCGCAGAAGCCCUCAGCAGAUUAUCCAUCAAGUCUCAUUGGUCAUAACUCUACAACAUAGCCACAGAAAUGGAACUAGCAUGAGUAGUUUAGUCUAAUAAAGAUCCACUCUGGUGGAAGUGGUAUUAGGUCUUCUUAGUUAUAGCUGCCAGAAGGUGGGUGGGGAAGUCAGCAAAGAAGAAGGAGAGAGUAGAGGAGGGGUCAAGGAUGGGUAUGGCUUGGGAAUGGGUUUGGUAGACAACCGUGUCUGUUACGGUCUAUUUUUAUGUUCUAUCUAUCAGUAAAGUUCAAGUGAGUCAUGGCCUCCUGGGAGAAUAGCAUAUCAGAAGCGUGAUACUUAUCAAAAGAACAGCUGGUAUGGAUAAACAAAAUGUGGCAUAUCCAUAUAAUGAAAACACUAUUUGGCAGUAAAAAUGAAUGGACUCUUGCUACAUGCACCAUCACAGAUGGAACUCAAAGGCAUGACAAGAAGCCUGACACAGGAUGACUGUACUGUAUGAUUUUGUUUAUAUGACAUUAUGGAAAAGGCAAAACCAUAGGGGUAGAAAACAGACCAGUGGCUGCCUACUAGGGGUAAAGGGAGGUGACUGGCUACAAAGGAGAAAGAAGGAACUUUUGGGGGGUGAUUAAAAUGUUCUAGAGAUUAAAGAGAAAACUACUGCUGGGUCUUGGGGGAUGGUGGGAAAAGGGACAACAUUUAUUGCAGGAAAAUUCAUUUUGAGCAGAGGAUACAGUUCUGUUAUCUUGAGAAACAGGGCCACCUGUCCACCUGCUUUGGUUUGGACAAAUGGCACAAAUUUCAUUUCUAUGUUCUUUAGAAUGUCAAUGAGGAGUUGGCCAACACAAGAUUCUGAAGAGGGCUGAGGAUACCCUUUGAGCUGAGCUCUGGUUCUUGAACACCUGCAAAAGGCCUUUGGAUUAAAAUAAGGUUCUCCUUAAGAAGAAGGCUUUGCUAUGUUUUACAGAGGUUGCUAUGUGUUCAAUUUCAAUGUUCUUGCUUUUGGGGGCUACCUGUGGUCUUAGGUGACUGGGACUUUUGAUAGAGUUUGUAACUGACAGAUUUUGCCUCAAUAAAGGAGCCUUCUUAUUGAAGUACCUGCCUUACCAUUUACCAUUUACCUAAACAAACAUGCCUGUAACUGAAUUUGAUAAGCUGGGAAUCCCAGCACCCAGCAGCAGAGGAUUGGGGGGAGGGUGAAGAAUAGAUAUUUUUGGUUGAGGGGACCUGUCCAAGAUUUCAAGUCCUAUCACAUGAGCAGCUGCCUAUUCUGUGACAAUUCUGACCACAACCUCUGGAUGGUAGUGUCUGAAAUAAUGUCCAUGAGGUGAUCUGAUGAGGACGCUUGGUCCAAACAAUUGGUGUGAACAGAAUCCCAUGGUUAUUUUGGGAGCUGUCGUAGGUUUUAAAAAACUUGUCGUUGAUGUAAAUUUUCUCCCAUGUGUAUUGGUUAUAUAUAUACACCUCCCUGCAUCCCUAUUAUUAAGCAUGGGGCCUUUGUAAAUACACAUUCCAUUCUGACCAAACACUACUUCUGAGUUUCAGACAUCACCAUUCCAGCAUCGUGACAUAAACACAUCCAUCCCCAGACACACAAUUUUUAAAAUUGCGGAUUAAGUGCUAAACUAUCAUCAUGAAUUGCAUGGCCUUUUCCUGAGAAAGAGAUUAUGCAAUUAGUAAUAAGAAAAAUGCUGAGCAUUCUAUGGAAGAAGCAUCCCACAGGCUGUGGGUCAGUCACAAACUGUCAGAGGAGGUAACUGAGAAUACAUGACCACUGGUCGACCCUCGAGCUGGAUCUGGGCAACUGGAGGCCUCUCAUUCCUCCAGUAUGUUUGGAAUGUAUGUUUUGCCCACUGUUCCUGCAGUAGGAGCCAUUUAAAGGAUGAAGCUUUGUGAGAGUAACGCGUGGUUGAGACCAUCUGAACUGGAUAUGUGGACUGGACCCUGUUGAGGCCUCUGCAUGAACUUUAAGAUUCUGGCAGGUGGGUGUGGAGAUCUACUCAUCUUGUGGCUGGCUGCUCAAGACAAGCCUUGUAUGUGAGUUCCCUUGCUUAUUAAAAUUGUCACCUACAAAUCUAGAAUGUCUGUCUCUUUUCUGAGUCGCCUUGCCCUCCAUUUAUAGAGGACAAUUUGCAAACCAAUGCAAAUUUUUGUUCAAAAGCAGAUUCCCUGGUCCCCUCACUAGAAAUUUCAACUGAGGUCUGAGGUGGGGUUCAAGAAUCUUUAUUGCUGUCUCUUCAGCAAGUGGUGCUGGGAAAACUGGACAGCGACAUGCAGAAGAAUGAACCUGGACCACUUUCUUACACCAUACACAAAAAUAAACUCAAAAUGGAUGACAGACCUAAAUGUAAGACAGGAAGCCAUCAAAAUCCUUGAGAAGAAAGCAGGCAAAAACCUCUUUGACCUUGGCCGCAGCAACUUCUUACUCAACACGUCUCUGGAGGCAAGGGAAACAAAAGCAAAAAUGAACUAUUGGGACCUCAUCAAAAUAAAAAGCUUAUGCAUAGUGAAGGAAACAGUCAACAAAACUAAAAGGCAACCGACGGAAUGGGAGAAGAUAUUUGCAAACAACAUAUCAGAUAAAGGGUCAGUAUCCAAAAUCUAUUAAGAACUUAUCAAACUCAACACCCAAAAAACAAAUAAUCCAGUGAAGAAAUGAGCAAAAGACAUGAAUAGACACUUCUCCAAAGAAGACCUCCGGAUGGCCAACCGACACAUGAAAAGAUGUUCAACAUCACUCAUCAUCAGGGAAAUACAAAUCAAAACCACAAUGAGAGGGGCACCUGGGUGGCUCAGUCGGUUGAGCUCCCGACUUCGUCCCAGGUCACGAUCUCACCGUCUGUGAGUUCGAGCCCCGCGUCGGGCUCCGUGCUGACAGCUCAGAGCCUGGACCCUGCUUCGGAUUCUGUGUCUCCCUCUCUCUCUCUGACCCUCCCCCACUCAUGCUCUGUCUCUCUCUGUCUCAAAAAUAAAAUAAAAACAUUAAAAAAAAAAAAACCACAAUGAGAUACCACCUUAUACCUGUCAGAAUAACUAACAUUAACAACUCAGGCAACAACAGAGAAAGGAUCUCUUUUGCACUGCUGGUGGGAAUGCAAACUGGUACAGCCACUCUGGAAAACAGUAUGUAGGUUCCUCAAAAAAUUAAAAAUAGAACUACUCUCCGACCCAGCAAUUGCACUACUAUGUAUUUAUCCAAGGGAUACAGGUACGCUGUUUCAAAGGGACACAUGCACCCCCAUGUUUAUAGCAGCACUAUCAACAAUAGCCAAAGUAUGGAAAGAGCCCAAAUGUCCAUCGAUGGAUGAAUGGAUAAAGAAGAUGUGGUAUAUAUGUACAAUGGAGUAUUACUCGGCAAUCAAAAAGAAUGAAAUCUUGCCAUUUGCAACUACGUGGAUGGAACUGGAGGGUAUUAUGCUAAGUGAAAUUAGUCAGAGAAAGACAAAAAUCAUAUGACUUCACUCAUAUGAGGACUUUAAGAGACAAAACAGAUGAACAUAAGGGAAGGGAAACAAAAAUAAUAUAAAAACAGGGAGGGGGACAAAACAGAAGAGACUCAUAAAUAUGGAGAACAAACUGAGGGUUACUGGAGGGGUUGUGGGAGGGGGGAUGGGCUAAAUGGGUAAGGGGCANUGUUGGUGGGAAUGCAAGCUGGUGCAGCCACUCUGGAAAACAGUAUGGAGGUUCCUCAAAAAAUUAAAAAUAGAACUACCCUACGACCCAGCAAUUGCACUACUAGGCAUUUAUCCAAGGGAUACAGGUGUGCUGUUUCAAAGGGACACGUGAACCCCCAUGUUUAUAGCAGCACUAUCAACAAUAGCCAAAGUAUGGAAAGAGCCCAAAUGUCCAUCGAUGGAUGAAUGGAUAAAGAAGAUGUGGUACAUAUAUACAAUGGAGUAUUACUCGACAAUCAAAAAGAAUGAAAUCAUUUACAACUACGUGGAUGGAACUGGAGGGUAUUAUGCUAAGCAAAAUUAGUCAGUCAGAGAAAGACAAAUACCAUAUGACUUCACUCAUAUGAGGACUUUAAGAUACAAAACAGAUGAACACAGGGAAGGAAAGCAAAAAUAAUAUAAAAACAGGGAGGGGGACAAAGAGACUCUUAAAUAUGGAGAACAAACAGAGGGUUACUGGAGGGGUUGUGGGAGGAGGGAUGGGCUAAAUGGGUAAGGGGCAUUAAGGAAUCUACUCCUGAAAUCAUUGUUACACUAUAUGCUAACUUGGAUGUAAAUUAAAAAAAAAAUAAACAAAAAUUAAAAAAAAAGAAUCUUUAUUGCUAAGUUUCAUAAAUGCCUCAGGCAAUAUGGAUACUGUGGCCUUCAAGCCACCCCUUGAGAAAGACCCUUUUAAAAAUAGCCAGGAAAUUAAUUUUCUGUCAAGAUUGAACAGGAGGCAAAAUUUAUCCAGAAUCUUUUUUCCUUUUAUUGUCAAAGUGCAAAGUAAAUAGCCCUUAAUUCUCAGGAAAAGAAAAGACUACAUUAAAAGUGAGGAAGAGAAAAUGUGGGGGUCUGAGGAAAAGCAUCACGAGCUGUCAACUGUCACAAAGUCACAGUCCUAGGAAGUAGGCCACAGGGUGCCAAGUCUCAUCUCCUUUGCAAAUCGACUGCCACGCACACACGCACCAAAUGCACUGACACUAACCAACCAUAUUUUCCCAUCGUCACCUGCCAGUGUAGUCAUCACAACUAAAUUGCCAGCUUGUUUUUGUUCUGUUCACUUUGUCACCCAGUUUGAGAGCUACACCACGAUCAAUUCUAUUGCAUACUUCCCUGCAACUCCUCACUGGGUAAUGAGGUCAUCAAAAGAUUUAGGAGUUUACCUAUAAAUGUAUUUUAUUUUAUACUUUAGAGGAGUUUGGGGGAAAGAUUCUUGUACACAGCAUGGCCUUCAUAAGUGAUUGCUGAGCGAAUGAAUGAAAUGUUGGGCCGAAUCCCAUUAUUGUAUAUAUUCACAAAAUAGUAGAUCAAAUCAUAUUUUCAGUACAGCUAACAGUGAGCUGAGUCUUAAAACCCACAGUGAACGCUUUUGAAAGUGCAGAUGAUUUUCUGUUGUUAUUUUAUUGUGUUUGUUUUUUGUUAAGGAGAACAAUUAUAUCUUGAUACGUUUUGGAAAUUUUUAUUUUUAAAUCAUUUUAAAUUACACAAAAGUUGCCAAAAAUAGUUCAAAGAACUGCCUUAUAUUCUUCAAGUUGUUAACACUUCUGAAUCAUCUGAGAGUAAGCUGCAGAUAUGAAGCCUCCUUACCCUGUCAUACAUCGGUGUGUAGUUUCUACAAGCAAAGACAUUCCUAAAUAACCACAGCACAAUCUCACAUCAGGAGAAUGACACUGAUCCAAUGCAAUCUAAUAAAAUCCACUGAAAUUUCACCAAUUAUGCCAUUACUGUCAUUUAUAGGCCUUGGAGCCUAUUAAAGAUCACCUCUUGCAUUUAGUUGUCUUGUCUCUCUAGUGACUUUUAAUCUGCAACAAUUUUUACUUUCAUAGCCUUGCCAUUUUUGAAGGAUACAUGCCAGUUACUUGAAUUUCUCUCAAUUUGCAUUUGUCUGAUGUUUCCUCAUGACUUUUAUAUUUAUGCAAAAGAAGUACUACUGUGUUCUUUUCACUGUAUUCUAUCAGGAGGCAACAUGAGGUUGGUUUUUUCCAUUACUGGUUUUUAUUUAUGUAAACUUUUGCCAGUUGAUUAAGAUGGUAUCUCCCAAAUAUUACAGUUGUAAUGUAAUGUUAAUUAGUAAGCGUGCUGUCCUUGUUAAUUAAUAAUUAAUGGUAUGUUGAUGAGAAUUAAUGACUAUUUUUAGGGAUAUACUUUGAGACACUGUAAGUAUCUCAUUCCUCAUCAAACUUUUACUCACGAAUUUUAGCAUCCAUUGAUGAUUCUGGCUUGAAUCAAUCAAAAUGAUGGUUGUAACAUCGUGAUUUUCUACAUUCUAUCUUUCUUUCUCCUUCUAUUAGUUGUAUUCUACUAGUAGAACUUUCCUUUCUCCUUUAUUUCUUUCUAUCAGCAUGGACUCAUCUCUAUUUUACUCAAAGGUUACAACUUGUUGCUGUCAUUAUUUAUUUUGAUGCUUAAAUUGUCCUAGAUUUGGCUGAUAGAGACCCCUUUAGAUCCUAUAUUCUUUGAACGUAUCUCCAUAAUUCUUUAAGUACCUUUUCAUUUUCCUUGCACAACAAAUUAUUCUGGUUUUACCCACUACACCAUGGAACCAUAGUUCUCUUUGGUGGAGAAUGGUAUUUAAAAACCAAAGUCUGAGUAUUAGGUGUGUUCAUGGCUACUGGGGUACUAUUGCAUUUAGACUCUCUCAGUGAAUGGAACUAGGAAACAUACCAACAUAUAUAUGCACAUAUUCAUAUAUUUUUCUAUCUUUUCAUCUGUGUAAAGUAGAAUUCAUUUCAUACCAUCUUCUUUAAUUUCAAGCCACAUCACUGGGUUUAUUCUAAUCUUUCCUCUUUUUAUAUCUGUAAUUCCCUUCUCCAACAGUGACAAAACUGCCUACCAAUAUCCUUAAUAUAUUUACUUGUUUGUUCAAUUCCUGGUAUGUAAACUAAUCUGUUGGCCAUGGUAGCAAAAAGUAUGGCCUGUCUCUAUGAAGUUAAUUAUUUUUAUCAUUACAUAUAUAUAUAUAUAAUAUUUAUAAUAUAAAUAUGUUAUAUUAAAAUUACAUAUAAGUUAUAUAUAUAAUAAAAAUAUGUAGUAUAUAUGUCUAUGUGUAUAAAAUAUAUACACAUACAUGUAUACAUAUGUAAUUAUUUUAUUGAAUUGCAAAUUCAAAUUUAUUGAAUAUAAGUAAAUAUGUAUAAAUUUUAUUGAAUUGUAAAUUAAAAUUUAUUGAAUAUAAGUAAAUACAUAUAAAAAUAUCUGAUUAUAUAUAAUAAUCAGCUUUACUGAUAUAUACCAUGAAGUUCAAGGUGUACUAUAUGAUGAUUUGAUACACAUGUAUAUUGCAAAAUGGUUACCACAGUAAGGUUAGUUAACACUUCAUCCCAUCACAAAAUUACCACUUUGUGUGUGUGUGUGUUUAGAUGACAAUUAAAAUUUACCCUAACAACUUUUGAGCAUAAUACAGUGCUGUUAACUAUAGUCAUCAUGCUAUACAUUAUUAGAUCCCUAAAACUCAUGCAUCUUAUAACUAGGUUUGUACCCUUUGAUCAACAUCUCCUCAUUUUUCCAAUCUCUUGGAAACUACCAUUCUAUAUUUCUAUGAAUUCAGCUUUUUUAGAUUUCACAGUGAGCUCAUACACUGUUCGUUUUUCUCUGAUUUAUCUCACUGAGCAUAGUGUCCUCAAGGUCCAUCCAUAUUGUUGCAGAUGGCAGGAUUUCCUUCUUUUUGUAUGGCUAAAUAAUGGCUCGUUCUGUGAAAAAUGCCGUUGGAAUUUUGACAAAAAUUUUGGUAAUAAUAGUAAGUGUGUGUAUUUGUGUGUGUGAGAUCCAUUCAGGUGUCAAUGGAUAAUCAGGUUGUUUCCAUGUCUUGGCUAUUGUAGAAAAUGUUGCAAUGAACAUGGGAGUGCAUAUAGCUUUUUGAGUUAGUGUUUUCACUUUUGGGGGGGGGAUAUAUGUCCAAAAGUGGAAUUGCUGGAUUAUUUGGUAGUUCUAUUUUUAAUUUUUUGAGGAAACUCCAUAGUGUUUUCCAUAGUGGCUGCACCAAUCUACAUUCCCAUCAGCAGUAUACAAGGGUUCCCUUUUCUCUACUUUCUCACUAAUACUUGUCUCUUGUCUCUUUGAAAAAUAGCCAUUGUAACAAGUGUGAAGUAAUAUCUCAUUGUGGUUUUAAUUUGCAUUUCCUUAAUGAUUAGUGAUAUUGAGCAUUCUUCACGUGCCUGUUGGUCAUCUGUAUGCCUUCUUCAGAAAAAAUGUCUAUUCAAGUCCCUCACCCAUUUUUUACCUGUUUUUGUUUUUCUAUUGAGUUGUAUGAAUUCUUAUACUUCUCAUCAGAUAUUAACUCCUUAUCAGAUAGAUGGCUUGAAAAUAUUUUCUCCCAUUCUAUAAGUUGCCUUUUCAAUUUGCUGACUGUUGCCUUUGCUGUGCAGAAGCUAUUUAGUUUGAUAUAGUCCCACUUGUUUAUUUUUACUUGUGUUGCUUGUGUUUUUGGAGUCAUAUCCAAAAAAUUGUUGCCAAGACCAAUGUCAAAGAGACUUUCCUCUGUUUUCGUCUAGUAGUUUUACAGUUUUGGGUCUUACGCUUAAGUCUUUAAUCCAUUUGGAGUUAAUUUUUGUGAGUUGUGUAAGAUAGGGGUCGAGUUUCAUUAUUUUGCAUGUGAAUAUCCAGUUCUCCUAACAUCAGUUAAUUCUUGGCUCCCUUGUCAAAUAUUCAUCCACUGUUUACAUGUGGAUUUAUUUCUGGGCACUCCAUCGGUCUAUGUGCCUGUUUUUAUGCUAAUACCAUACUGUUUCAAUUACUAUAGCUUUGUAAUAUAGUUUGAAAUUUGAAAUCAGGUAGUGUCAUGCCUUUAGCUUUGCUUUUCUUGCUUUAGACUGUUUUGGCUAUUUAGGGUCUUUUGUGGUACCAUAUACAUUUUAGGAUUCCCCCCCCCCCGUUUCUGUGAAAAAUGUCAUUGGAAUUUUGACACAGAUUAUGUUGAAUCUGUAAAUGGCUUUGGGCAGCACGGAUACUUUAACAGUAUUAAUUCUUCCAAUCUAUGAAUGUGGGAUAUCUUCCCAUUUAUUUGUGUCUUCUUCAAUUUCUUUCACCAAUGUCUUGUAAUUGUCAGUGUAUGGAUCUUUCACCUCCUUGGUUAAGUUUAUUCUUAAGUAUUUUGUUCUUAGGUAUUUUGUUAUAUUUGAAGACCUUUCUUCAGAUGCACCUGAAGCUCACUGCUUAUACUUCCAGAUGGUUGUUCCCUGAUGCCUGACCCUCAAGAAGCUGCUGGUCUCAGAAAUGCAGAGCUCCC
rnacentral:lncRNA from 1 species